GAUGAACGCUGGCGGCGUGCCUAAUACAUGCAAGUCGAGCGAACAGAUAAGGAGCUUGCUCCUUUGACGUUAGCGGCGGACGGGUGAGUAACACGUGGGUAACCUACCUAUAAGACUGGAAUAACUCCGGGAAACCGGGGCUAAUGCCGGAUAACAUGUUGAACCGCAUGGUUCUACAGUGAAAGGCGGCUUUGUUGUCACUUAUAGAUGGACCCGCGCCGUAUUAGCUAGUUGGUGAGGUAACGGCUCACCAAGGCAACGAUACGUAGCCGACCUGAGAGGGUGAUCGGCCACACUGGAACUGAGACACGGUCCAGACUCCUACGGGAGGCAGCAGUAGGGAAUCUUCCGCAAUGGGCGAAAGCCUGACGGAGCAACGCCGCGUGAGUGAUGAAGGUCUUCGGAUCGUAAAACUCUGUUAUUAGGGAAGAACAAAUGCGUAAGUAACUGUGCGCGUCUUGACGGUACCUAAUCAGAAAGCCACGGCUAACUACGUG
rnacentral:rRNA from 1 species